rnacentral:rRNA from 1 species
ACGGGAGGCAGCAGUGGGGGAUAUUGCACAAUGGGGGAAACCCUGAUGCAGCGACGCCGCGUGAGCGAAGAAGUGCUUCGGCAUGUAAAGCUCUAUCAGCAGGGAAGAAAAUGACGGUACCUGACUAAGAAGCCCCGGCUAACUACGUGCCAGCAGCCGCGGUAAUACGUAGGGGGCAAGCGUUAUCCGGAUUCACUGGGUGUAAAGGGAGCGUAGACGGCAACGCAAGUCUGAUGUGAAAACCCGCGGCUCAACCGCGGGAUUGCAUUGGAAACUGUGUAGCUUGAGUACUGGAGGGGCAGGCGGAAUUCCUGGUGUAGCGGUGGAAUGCGUAGAUAUCAGGAGGAACACCGGUGGCGAAGGCGGCCUGCUGGACAGUAACUGACGUUGAGGCUCGAAAGCGUGGGGAGCAAACAGGAUUAGAUACCCUGGUA